rnacentral:rRNA from 1 species
UACAGAGGAUGCAAGCGUUAUCCGGAAUGAUUGGGCGUAAAGCGUCUGUAGGUGGCUUUUUAAGUCCGCCGUCAAAUCCCAGGGCUCAACUCUGGACAGGCGGUGGAAACUACCAAGCUGGAGUACGGUAGGGGCAGAGGGAAUUUCCGGUGUAGCGGUGGAAUGCGUAGAGAUCGGGAAGAACAUCGGUGGCGAAGGCGGUCUGCUGGGCCGUUGCUGACGCUGAGGCGCGACAGCGUGGGGAGCAAACAGG